rnacentral:rRNA from 1 species
UAAUACAGAGGGUGCGAGCGUAAUCGGAUUUACUGGGCGUAAAGCGUGCGUAGGCGGCUUUUUAAGUCGGAUGUGAAAUCCCUGAGCUUAACUUAGGAAUUGCAUUCGAUACUGGGAAGCUAGAGUAUGGGAGAGGAUGGUAGAAUUCCAGGUGUAGCGGUGAAAUGCGUAGAGAUCUGGAGGAAUACCGAUGGCGAAGGCAGCCAUCUGGCCUAAUACUGACGCUGAGGUACGAAAGCAUGGGGAGCAAACAGGAUUAGAUACCCUGGUAGUCAAGGGCGAAUUCG